rnacentral:rRNA from 2 species
AGCAUAGCGAUUUGGGAUAAGUCCCUUGGAAGAGGGCAGCAUGGAGGGUGAUACUCCCGUCUCUGCUCAGGUUGUCUGUGUGUACGAUACGCUUUCUUUGAGUCGAGUUGUUUGGGAAUACAGCUCAAAGUAGGUGGUAAAUUCCAUCUAAAGCUAAAUAUUGGUGCGAGACCGAUAGCGAACAAGUACCGUGAGGGAAAGAUGAAAAGAACUUUGAAAAGAGAGCUAAAGAGUACCUGAAACUGUUGAAAGGGAACCGUAUCGUUUCUAGUGUUUAUCCUAUGCAUAUUUCAUUGGCGGUUGCAAAAUUGCUGGUGCCCUGUGCAUGGGUGUGACGUCAGAGUCAAUUUAAAUUGCGGGAGAUGGGUAGAGAGGAGGUGCGCCGCUUGCGGGAAGUUAUACCUUUUUGCCUAGUAGCCGUGGUUGAGACUGAGGUGCC